CCGGCGCGCCGGGCCGGGCCGGGCCGCAGGGCUCGCCCUGGGUCGGGCCGGUGCCCGAGCGACGCCCCUUCCCCCGGGGCGGCUGCCGCGUCCUCUGCGCUUCGCCCCGUCGAGGCAGCGAAACGCCUCUAAAAGCAGCACAUCUGCUCCAAAAUCAGGCCACGAUAUGAGAAGCAAUUACAUAGGACUGGUCUAUGAGGACGUGCAUGUAGGCAAGAUGCUGUGGAGGAAGUACAGGAUCUGCAACUGUCAUACACAAAUGAACAACAAACUCCCUUACGCCUGCUGAGGUUUUACCUGUGUGUGGAGUGGAGUACUGCACCGAAGUGAUCAGAAACACAGACAGAUGCAAGAGAUGAUCGACAGACCUAGGAUUUGUCCAGUGUGUGUCAGCAGGAGUAAUGACAGGGAAACCAGCCUGUGCUGUCAGUUUGGGGAGUCGUCCGAGAUUCAAGACAACUAGAAUGAGACCAAGGUAUCCCCAAAAUAGUUCUUGACAUUAAUUUGGAAACAGUUUAGGGAAGUAUGCUUUAUGACAUUUAUUUGUUUCAAUAAGUACAGCUUGUAGCAAAUUACAGGUAUUUCCAUGGAUUGAGUAUAGAUACAUAUAGCACAAAGUUAUGACUCAAAAGUGAAGUCCAAAGGGAAGUAUAGCAGAACAAGCUAGGCGUUACCCCCAAUGAAUGUCAAACAUUGCAACUAUGUAGGAGUGGCUAGCCUGUAGCUCAUUUUUAUCUGCUGGUUUUUUUUUAAAAAAGCUUUUUUCAGAUGAAGUAUAUUCUCUUAAGUGUGAAGUGAAUUAUGCAAUUACAGCAAAAUGUAUGUACUAGAAAUUUCAGAUCUUUAUAGAUGUGGAGGAACUCUGCUGGAUGCAAAACAUAUUCAUGAAAAUGAUACUAACAUUUGCCUCUGAUUUUCAAGGUGUAAGCUUAGAUUAAUUUAUAGCUAGAAACUUCAGAUAAGGAAGACUCUUCAGAGCUCCAUGUGUGGUAAGCCAGAACAAACACUGUGUGUUUAGAAAUAAAUUUGGAAGCCUUUGUACACUAGAAAGUCUCAAAAUCAACAGAAAAUCACAUCAAUACAAAUACAUGCCUUUUAAGCACAGUUUAAAUUUUUAACACGCAGAAUUUAGCAGAGUAUAUUUGUUUGUGUGUCAAUGCUUUAUCGUGCAAAACAUAAAAUCCUUGUGAGAGACUGCAACUUUCAGGUACUUCUUGGUCAUUUCCUCUCUUGGUCUCCAUUUGCCAUAGAAACAAUGAUUUCCUUAAUAGUAGCAGUAUUCCUUUCAGUGCCAUAUAGCACUAAUUGCUAAUUGUCACAGUGGACAGUGUUCCAUAAAUUUAGAGUUCAACACUUGCAGCUUUGGGGGGAAUGGACUGACCUUUUUUUUUCACUAAGCCAGAGUUUUGCCAGCUUUAUAAUAAACAAUACUUACCUGCA